rnacentral:misc_RNA from 1 species
CAAGUCCUGCUACGUGGUUCCGGUUUUCCGCGGCGCCAAGUACAUGAUCAGGACAACGUACUUCUAUGGAGGGAUCAACGGCAACGCUGCGCCGCCAGUGUUCGAUCAGAUUGUAGACGGAACUUUCUGGAGCGUGGUGAAUACAACGGAGGAUUAUGCCAACGGCAUGUCGUCGUAUUAUGAAGGGGUUUUUCUGGCUCAGGGGAAGACUAUGAGUUUGUGUAUCGGGGCAAAUUCGUACACGGAUUCAGACCCGUUUAUUUCGGCAUUGGAGUUCGUGAUUUUGGGGGGUUCAUUGUAUAAUUCCACUGAUUUUAA